AAAAAAAAACAAAUAACAAAGAUAUAGGGGUAAAUUUCCUAUUUCGAAUAGAGUGCCAUCAGUCAAAAAAUCAGUAUUUUACAAGGUACGACACGAAAACAUCGUACCGUAUUUACUAACCAAAAAAAAUUUCUGAGUGGAAAAACAUUAAAAAAAAAAAAGCGACAAAACCUUGUAACCUUCUUCACUUUGCGGUCCGAAGACACAACCCCUUCUUUAUCCAGCCCCGGUUAACUCUAAUGUUUAUAUCACGAACGACACUGAGUAACUCGGUAAGUAAAUUUUCAAAAAAACCACAUUAUAGUUCGAGAAGAAACAAAGUCACAGGUGCUAAAUUCACGUAUAUUUUCUGGAAAUAAUUUACCUACAAUUCAAUUUAUAUCAGCUCUAAUACAUUAUAAAUAUCGAAUUAUCGAGCAAUACCUAUAAUCGGCUUUGAAUGCUACAAUAUUUUCGCAAAACGGUUUAGAAAACCGUCGACGAUAAAAAUACGAUCGCGAUUCACUGUAUUCUAUACUCGACGAUGUAUUUACAUUCGUGACGUAUAAGCACGCCAAAAAAAAAAAACACACACAAACACCUAAGUACUUCUCAAAAUACAAUAUAAUAACAAUAAUAAUGGCAAUGAUAAUUGUACACACAAGACGUGCGUCGAGUGAAACGUUUUAGUUUGUCGCCGUCGUUGUCGAGUGGUUUACCCAAAAUAAAUAGACGCGAGAAAAACAAGGCUAACAAUACGCAACGUUAUU